GCCGCGACGAGCUUCCCAAUGGCGGCGGCCACCUCUCUCCGUCUGACGCCACUCUCUUCUCUCCGGUUCCUCUCCUUCUUCCCCAAAUCUAAUACGUGGGAAGUAACUUUGGAGAAUUUAGGAGGAAGUUGAGAAUUGGGGACAUAAAGGGAGGAUCCGACGAAGGAUUGGGUCGGGUCGGCAGACCCUGAGCGUAAUAGGUUGGGUGCGGGAUCUCCGGGCUCAGAGCAGCGUCACCUUCAUUGAGGUAAUCCCUCAACCUUGAAUUCUUGCUUCACAACUGUUCGGAUAAAUGACGGUUCAUGCCUCUCAAACAUGCAAUGUGUGAUGAACUCGGAUGCACAAGGGUAUGAUCAGGUAAAUCCAUUCACCUUUGAAUGAUUCUAACAUUCCAUAUUGAUCCUAGGAAAGUGUUUCUCUCACUCUUCAGUUUUAUGCUUUAAAGACUCUUUACCUUAUCACAUAGGAAGUGAAAGCUUUUUAGAUCAAACGGAUUUAGUGCGGAUGCGACAAUAAGAUUCUUACCACCCAUCUUUUUGCCCAAUUCUAAAUGUUGUUCGCAAUUUGCUUCAGACCUGAGAGUCCUUAGCUUUUGAUAUCAAUUCAAUGAUUCCUAAUCCUGGGGGGUUGCCAAAUUCCUUAGCUGAAUAAUCGGUACAAUAAAAAGCGUCAUCUUGAGGGAGGCUUCCCUCCAUAUCGAUGGUAGAAAUGGGUCUUGAAUUUCUUUGUCUUUCUGUUUUGUUUGAUUUUGUUAGCCUAUAUCACUUAGGGGCUGAGAAUUCAUCAAUUUUUCAUGUAUGAUUCAAUGUGUGUGCAAGGUUGUAAUUUUUAAUCCUCGGUUUCUACCAUAUUCAUGAGCUGAACAAUAGCUAGAAUCUGGUAUGGUCUUGACCGGUGCUUCCAUAUCAGUACAAGGGACUCUUGUGGCUAGCCAGGGAUCAAAACAAAAGGUGGAACUAAAGGCCGAGAAGAUUGUUGUGGGCUUGUGGCAUGUGCUUGCUUUUCAAUAUUGGCAAAUGCGAUGCUUCGUAUCUGAUUCAGAAGAAACGAAUUAGCAGAGAAUUCUUGAGAACCAAGGCUCAUUUGCGUCAAGAACAAACACUUUUGGGGCGGUCGCAAGAGUUAGGAAUGCUUUGGCGUAUUCUACACACUUGUUCUUUCAGGGAAACGGGUUCAUCUGGGUGUCGAGUCCGAUCAUCACAGCUUCGGACUGUGAAGGAGCAGAGUUUAGGGUUUAGGGUGUAAUAUCACAAAUCGAGUUAGGGACAUUGUCCCAUUUGAAUCAAAACAACCUGGAUGUGUUAUUCUUCUGUUCAAUAUCACUCCAAAGCUCACAAAUCAAAACAAAUCCCGUUCCUGA